CAUGACUCAGCAAUUGAACAACAGCAGCAACAAUCCAGAGAGACAGGAGAAUAUCUAAGAGAAUGGCAUGAUUUGAAAGCUAGAGGAAAGCAAUCAACUGAGAAAUUGAAGGAGACAAGGUCAUUUGAUAAAUAUGAAAGAAGAGAAAAGGUGAUGAGAUAAGGAGCAUGAGAAGAAUGGAAACAGGUGCUCUCAGAAAUGAAAGUUCAAGCUGACUAAGAAAAUAUGGAAGGACUGCCAGAUAAUACUGAGGAACUAAUUUAUAAUAAUCAGCAAUUCUAUGAGAUAGAAACAAUUACUAUUCUCAGUUCAUAAAUGAAGAAACUAAGGCACAGAGAUCACUGCAGAUGGUGACUGCAGCCAUGAAAUUAAAAGACUCC